GUACCCAUUUCAGCAGCACAAAUCCACAAACUGGAAUGAUACAGAGAACAUUAGCACGACUCCUGUGCUGGAAUGACAUCCAAAUCCAUAAAGUACUCUAAUUAAAA
ensembl:snRNA U6 U6 spliceosomal RNA